GAAAUACCAAAAAAAAAAGAAACAUAUAUCAAGAAACAACAUGAUAUGCCUGUAAUUCCCAGAUUGGACAAAAAACAACAUAUACUUUAAACUGAGAAUGAGAAUUUUUCUACCUUAAAACUCACAAUCAGAAGAGAACAACAUUUGCAGCAAAGCACAACACCCUCUUCUUCUUCAUCACAAUUCAAACUCAUCUUCAAGCUUCAGUGCCUCAGCAGCUGCUUCUUCCUCCUCAUCAUCAACUACAAAAUAAGGAUUAUGAGCCUCAGGCUUGAACUUGUAACCAGUGAAUGCAUAAAAUGCAAGCGUCGCCAAUUCCCCAGCCACCACACUUGUCCAAAGAUACCGAUAUGAUGUAAUUGUCUCGAGUGCAUAAACUACAACCCGGGUGAAGUAGAUAUAACAUAUAACCACAAUGUAAUACUGUCUGAAAAGGGUCAAUUUCAUCAAAUUCACAGCUGCUUUUCCGUCGGUUCGUGCAGCUUCACGCAAGUUCUUGAUUGACCAAACAAUGGGGAACAGAACAGCACAGCAACAAAUCACAUCAACAAGCAAGAACACCUGUUUCCAAGUAACCCAAUCUUGUUCAAAUGGCCCAGUUUCAUCAAUCACAACCUGAGCAAUAUUAGCCACCACUUGCAAUGGAAUCACAAUCAUCAAGACCUUCUUCUCUUUGUCCUGCAAAUAAGGUUUCAAGAAAGACCAACCAGUGCCAAUCAAGACGAUCAAAGUAAACAAGGUGAUACCCUUUAAGAAACUAAAAAUGUAGAACAAAA
rnacentral:misc_RNA from 1 species